rnacentral:rRNA from 1 species
CGUGUAGGCGGCCAGGUAGGUCCGCUGUGAAAACCCGAGGCUCAACCUCGAGAUGUCGGCGGAAACCCCCUGGCUAGAGUCCGGAAGAGGAGAGUGGAAUUCCCGGUGUAGCGGUGAAAUGCGCAGAUAUCGGGAAGAACACCCGUGGCGAAGGCGGCUCUCUGGGACGGUACUGACGCUGAGACGCGAAAGCGUGGGGAGCGAACA